rnacentral:tRNA from 1 species
UAGCUCAGCGGUAGAGCGGGAGACUGUAGUUUCUAGUUAUCUCUAGGUCCCUGGUUCAAAUCCGGN